UGCAAGUCGCAAAUCCACACACCUGUGCACCUAUGACUCUGAGUACCGCUUUGCAUGGGCUUUCAAAGGCCCUGGUACUCGAGUAACUUUUUACAUACUCUGAAUGUAACGGAAUGUCUAUUGUACAAUGUACAACUAAAACAACUUUCAACAACGGAUCUCUUGGCUCUCGCAUCGAUGAAGAACGCAGCGAAAUGCGAUAAGUAAUGUGAAUUGCAGAAUUCAGUGAAUCAUCGAAUCUUUGAACGCACCUUGCACCCUUUGGUAUUCCGAAGGGUACACCCGUUUGAGUGUCAUUGUAAUCUCACCCCUUUUGACUUUGCCGUCGAUCGGUGUGGACUUGGAUGUUGCCGUGUAACAAACGGCUCGUCUGAAAUGCCUGAGUGUACCCCGCUUUGCGGCGUAUUCGGUGUGAUAAAUCUUCGCCGGAGUUGACUUUCGAGUCGCGCUUGUACUGUGGGCUCUAUGCUUCCAACCGUCCCAAAAGGACAAUCUUUGACAAUUUGACCUCAAAUCGGGUGG
rnacentral:rRNA from 1 species